UCGGAAACCAGAUAUAUUUUG
rnacentral:piRNA from 1 species